CUUGGUCAUUUAGAGGAAGUAAAAGUCGUAACAAGGUUUCCGUAGGUGAACCUGCGGAAGGAUCAUUAGUGAAUUGAAUGUGUUAGCGGACCUCUUCGGAGUCCCUAGCAUCAAAUCAUAUCCAUAACACCUGUGAACUGUAAGGCUGUCUUGAAAACGAAAGUGAUUAGAGCGCCUGCCCAUUUUAUACAAACAUUAAAGUAACAAACGUAGUCUUAUUAUAAUCUAAUAAAACUUUCAACAACGGAUCUCUUGGCUCUCGCAUCGAUGAAGAACGCAGCGAAAUGCGAUAAGUAAUGUGAAUUGCAGAAUUCAGUGAAUCAUCGAAUCUUUGAACGCACCUUGCGCUCUUUGGUAUUCCGAAGAGCAUGCCUGUUUGAGUGUCAUGAAAAUAUCAACCUUGACUUGGGUUUAGUGCUCUUGUCUUGGCUUGGAUUUGGCUGUUUGCCGCUCGAAAGAGUCGGCUCAGCUUAAAAGUAUUAGCUGGAUCUGUCUUUGAGACUUGGUUUGACUUGGCGUAAUAAGUUAUUUCGCUGAGGACAAUCUUCGGAUUGGCCGAGUUUCUGGGACGUUUGUCCGCUUUCUAAUACAAGUUCUAGCUUGCUAGACAUGACUUUUUUAUUAUCUGGCCUCAAAUCAGGUAGGACUACCCGCUGAACUUAAGCAUAUCAAUAAGCGGAGGA
rnacentral:rRNA from 1 species